rnacentral:rRNA from 1 species
GAUGAACGCUGGCGGCGUGCCUAAUACAUGCAAGUCGAGCGAACGGACGAGAAGCUUGCUUCUCUGAUGUUAGCGGCGGACGGGUGAUUAACACGUGGAUAACCUACCUAUAAGACUGGGAUAACUUCGGGAAACCGGAGCUAAUACCGGAUAAUAUUUUGAACCGCAUGGUUCAAAAGUGAAAGACGGUCUUGCUGUCACUUAUAGAUGGAUCCGCGCUGCAUUAGCUAGUUGGUAAGGUAACGGCUUACCAAGGCAACGAUGCAUAGCCGACCUGAGAGGGUGAUCCGCCACACUGGAACUGAGACACGGUACAGACUCCUACGGGAGGAAGCAGUAGGGAAUCUUACGCAAUGGGCGAAAGCCUGACGGAGCAACGCCGCGUGAGUGAUGAAGGUCUUAGGAUCGUAAAACUCUGUUAUUAGGAAAGAACAUAUGUGUAAGUAACUGUGCACAUCUUGACGGUACCUAAUCAGAAAGCCACGGCUAACUACGUG